rnacentral:rRNA from 1 species
GACGUAGGGCGCGAGCGUUGUCCGGAUUUAUUGGGCGUAAAGAGCUCGUAGGCGGCUUGUCGCGUCGAAUGUGAAAUCCUGCGGCUCAACUGCAGGCUUGCAUUCGAUACGGGCAGGCUCGAGUUCGGUAGGGGAGACUGGAAUUCCUGGUGUAGCGGUGAAAUGCGCAGAUAUCAGGAGGAACACCGGUGGCGAAGGCGGGUCUCUGGGCCGACACUGACGCUGAGGAGCGAAAGCGUGGGGAGCGAACAGG